rnacentral:lncRNA from 1 species
AUCACACAGUCAGUCAAGGCAUUAUUAACCAACAUACCCUUAAGCCACACACACGUGAUCACUGAUCACAUGAUGAUAACAUGGAAAGGAAGCUUGCUUAAACUCAUCCUAACAUAAGGUGGCCAGUUUGAGUUCAAUAUCAUUUCUAAACGAAUAAAAUAUGCAAGGAAGACUAAUCAUUGACCUAUACAUAUAUAAACUAUAGGAAAAAGAAGAAACCCUUGUUUCUCAUAUGCGUGAUACAGCGAUUAGGUAAGAGGCAGAGUGAAGCCCAAGAAGAUUGUUUGUGGCAGUGCCAAAUCAGCUCCUCACAAGGUUUUUAGAUCUUAGAGAUGAGCUGUAGAAAUUGUCCUGGUCUGGAAUCUCUGCCCAUAAGCCACCCAAAGGUGUUCUAUUCGGUGAAACUUCCCUGCCUGUUAUGUGCUGCCACCAGGCAGGUUCUGCAAUAUUAUGGGAUAUAUCUAGUACUUUGUAACACUAAUAUCAAUUUUCUAGUCUUUAAGAUUUGUAUAAUUAUUUUCCUCUCAUCAAUUUGCAAUAGUUUUUGAUAAAUUUUUUUUUUCAGAUUCUUAAUGUUCUUUUGGUAUUUUUCUGCUAUGGUUUUCUACUGCUCCUGUUGAGCGCCGUGUUGAGAGAGAAUUCAUGCAAAUAAAACCGUUGGGAAAAGUUGAAAUUUGGCAGCUUUGAUGUUUAGUUUACUACUAAAGGGAAAAAAAA